rnacentral:tRNA from 1 species
GUCAGUGUGGUGUAGUGGCUUGAGUGUUGACUACAACUCUGGAGACCAGGGUUCAAUUCCUUGCUCAGCCA